rnacentral:rRNA from 1 species
AUACGGGGGGGGCGAGCGUUGUCCGGAAUUAUUGGGCGUAAAGGGCGCGUAGGCGGAAUGAUAAGUCAGAGGUGAAAACUCAGGGCUCAACCCUGAGCCUGCCUUUGAUACUGUCAUUCUUGAGUGCGCGAGAGGAAAGCGGAAUUCCCGGUGUAGCGGUGAAAUGCGUAGAUAUCGGGAAGAACACCGGUAGCGAAGGCGGCUUUCUGGCUCGCAACUGACGCUGAGGCGCGAAAGCGUGGGGAGCAAACAGUAUUAGAAACCCCAGUAGUCC